rnacentral:rRNA from 1 species
UACGUAGGGUGCGAGCGUUGUCCGGAAUUAUUGGGCGUAAAGAGCUCGUAGGCGGUCCAUCGCGUCGGGAGUGAAAAGCUGGGGCUUAACCCCAGUCCUGCUUUCGAUACGGGUGGACUAGAGGUAGGCAGGGGAGAACGGAAUUCCUGGUGUAGCGGUGAAAUGCGCAGAUAUCAGGAGGAACACCUGUGGUGUAGACAGCUUACUGGACCACUUCUGACGCUAAGACACGAAAGCGUGGGUAGCAAACAGG